GUGAUGGACAGGGCGGCCAGCCACUCGUCAGUCCACACCGGCCCAGGAGGCCCCGCCCAUCAUCCUGAAGGAGUGAGCGGUGGCGGCCGGUGCGCCCCCUGCAGACGGAGGAGUGCGUGGGCAGCAGAACAGGGGUUACAGUGCACAUCCCCCAGAUGAUGUCUAAAGGCAGCCUUUGCCCCACCACCCACCUCACCGUGUAUGCCUUUACUCAAUACUUGAAGACUUCCAGUUAGAGAUGUUAUUAAACAAACAAAAACCUGUUGGCUUUGUUUAGUUUCACCCAGAAGUCAGAAAACAGCCUUUAGCACAAUUUGGAAAUCAAUACCUAAGAUUAGAAGCAAUAUCUUUCAGUGUUUUACAGCCAUUCUUUUUUUUUUUUCUUUUUUGAAACAGGGUCUCGCUCUGUCACCCAGGCUGGAGUACAGUGGUGUGAUCUUGGCUCACUGCAACUUCUGCCUCCCAUGCUCAAGUGAUUCUCCUGCCUCUGCCUCCUGAGUAGCUGGGGUUACAGGCGCCCGCCACCACACCUGGCUAAUUUUUGUAUUUUUAGGAGAGACAGGGUUUCACCAUGUUGGCCAGGUUGGUCUUGAACUUCUGACCUCAAGUGAUCUGCCCACUUCGGCCUCUCAAAGUGUUGGGAUUAUAGGCAUGAGCCACCACGCCCAGCCCUUUACAGCCAUUCUUGCAAGUUUUCCUUCAUGCCAAGCCUCUUUCAAGUUUUCCUUCAUGCCAAGCUAUCGCUUGGAAGACCCUCCUGCCAGUGUCUGUCCUGCCAGCAAGCUCUGGCUGAGGCCUGGAUGCUGAAGGAUGUGGAGUCAGCUUAGUAUUGGAUGAGCACUUCUGGAGCUCUGGCACCUAGCAGAUACUCUAAAGGUUCACAGAGCUCAGCUGGAUCAAAUGGGGCACCCAGGAGGCCUGUUGGUGGGGUCCUGGAGCUGCUGGUGCCAACUCAUGAAAGCCAAUUGUUAACAUGUUCAGGAAUUAUGCGCAUUGGUUGUUCAACACAGCCAUUGUUAAAAUUUAAGUUAUAGGCAGUGGCUCACGCCUGUAAUCCCAG
rnacentral:lncRNA from 10 species